UACGUAGGGUGCGAGCGUUAAUCGGAAUUACUGGGCGUAAAGCGUGCGCAGGCGGUUUUGUAAGCCAGAUGUGAAAUCCCCGGGCUCAACCUGGGAAUGGCAUUUGGGACUGCAAGGCUCGAGUGCGGCAGAGGAGACUGGAAUUCCUGGUGUAGCAGUGAAAUGCGUAGAUAUCAGGAGGAACACCGAUGGCGAAGGCAGCACUCUGGGACGUGACUGACGCUGAGACGCGAAAGCGUGGGGAGCGAACAGG
rnacentral:rRNA from 1 species